rnacentral:rRNA from 1 species
GAGAGUUUGAUUAUGGCUCAGGAUGAACGCUGGCGGCGUGCUUAACACAUGCAAGUCGAGCGAGAAACUACAUGCAGACACUUCGGUAGAAGCGAGUAGCGGAAAGCGGCGGACGGGUGAGUAACGCGUAGGCAACCUGCCCUUCACAGAGGUAUAGCCUCGGGAAACCGGGAUUAAAACCACAUAAAAUCAUAGGUUCGCAUGAACCAAAGGUCAAAGAUUUAUCGGUGAAGGAUGGGCCUGCGUCUGAUUAGCUGGUUGGUAGGGUAAAAGCCUACCAAGGCGACGAUCAGUAGCCGACCUGAGAGGGUGAUCGGCCACAUUGGAACUGAGACACGGUCCAAACUCCUACGGGAGGCAGCAGUGGGGGAUAUUGCACAAUGGGGGAAACCCUGAUGCAGCAACGCCGCGUGAGGUAUGAAGGCCUUUGGGUUGUAAGCCUCUGUCCUGGGGGAAGAAAAAAAUGACGGUACCCGAGGAGGAAGCCCCGGCUAACUACGUGCCAGCAGCCGCGGUAAUACGUAGGGGGCAAGCGUUAUCCGGAAUUAUUGGGCGUAAAGAGUGCGUAGGUGGUCUACUAAGCGCGAGGUGAAAGGCAAUGGCUCAACCAUUGUUAGCCUUGCGAACUGGCAGACUUGAGUGCAAGAGAGGAAAGCGGAAUUCCUAGUGUAGCGGUGAAAUGCGCAGAUAUUAGAGGAACACCGGCGGCGAACGCGGCUUUCUGGAUUGUAACUGACACUGAGCACGAAAGCGUGGGUAGCAAACAGGAUUAGAUACCCUGGUAGUCCACGCCGUAAACGAUGAGCACUAGUGUCGGGACAUGAGUCUCGGUGCCGUAGUUAACGCAAUAAGUGCUCCGCCUGGGAGUACGCACGCAGUGUAAACUCAAAGAAUUGACGGGACCCGCACAGCAGCGAGCAUGUGGUUAUCGAGCACGCGAGAGCUACAGACUGACAUCCUCUGACGUACCCUAUCGGUAUUCCUCGGACGAGGAAAAGUGUGCAUGCUGUCGUCAGCUCGUCCUGAAUGUGUAGUCCGCAACGCGCACUGCUUAGUGCACAUUAGUUGGACUAAGACUGCGACUCGAGAGUGGAUAGCCAUCUCAUGCUAGCUGUAACCGUCAAUGUCGUACAGAGCAUCGCAAGGAACAGCUAAACGCGCUGA